rnacentral:rRNA from 1 species
GUCUACGGCCAUGCUACCCUGAACAAGCCUGAUCCCGUCUGCUCUCGGAAGCUAAGCAGGGUCGGGCCUGGUUAGUACUUGGAUGGGAAACCAUCUAGGAAGACCAGAUGCUGUAGGUG